rnacentral:rRNA from 1 species
UACGUAGGGUGCAAGCGUUAAUCGGAAUUACUGGGCGUAAAGCGUGCGCAGGCGGUGAUGUAAGACAGUUGUGAAAUCCCCGGGCUCAACCUGGGAACUGCAUCUGUGACUGCAUUGCUGGAGUGCGGCAGAGGGGGGAUGGAAUUCCGCGUGUAGCAGUGAAAUGCGUAGAUAUGCGGAGGAACACCGAUGGCGAAGGCAAUCCCCUGGGCCUGCACUGACGCUCAUGCACGAAGCGUGGGGAGCAAACAGGA